CCCUCCCCCUGCAAAUGAUGCACCAAAGGGAGGGCUGUCCAAGUAAGGCUCCAUCCUAAUAAAACUGUCCAUGAUACAAAAAGCACACCAAAGUACCCAAGGGAGCGGACUCAGUAAAAGGGAUUAUCAGGUAUAUUCACGUUACUGGUUGGGGGACUUCUACUAAAAUACCAAUUAGAAUAAUUGCUCUAUAUCCCUUAUUUAUAGCGAUACUUGACUAGCAGAAUCAGUUCUAUGUUCAAGACACUCCCAAUUUGUGAAAAUAAAUCCAUUUUGUUUGCAUCCAAAAUAAUGCUUUUUUUUUUGUUCUCUCUGUGUCGAGAGGCUACAGAGUUCAUUCAAAAAAGGUAUUAAGCCAGGUGUGGUGGCUUGCACCUAUAAUCACAGCAUUUUGGGAGGCCAAAGCAAGGGGACUGCUUGAGCCCAGGAGCUCAAGACCAGCCUGGGGAACAUAGGCAGACCCCGUCUCUACAAAAAAUAAAAAAAUUAACUGGGCUUGGUGGUGUGUACCUGUGGUCCCAGCUACUCAGGAGGCUGAGGUGGGAGGAUCACUUGAGCCCAGGUGGUUGAGGCUGCAGUGAGCCAUGAUCAUGCCACCGCACUCCAGCCUGGGCAACAGAGUGAGAUCCCAUCUCUAAAGGAAAAAAAAAAAAAAGAGAGAGAGCGGAAUUAAAGCCAGGUGCAGUGGCUCCUGCCUGUAAUCCCAGCUAUUCGGGAGGCUGAGGUGGGAGGAUUACUUGAGGCCAGAAGUUUCAGGUUGCAGUGAGCUACAAUCAUGUGCUGUACUACUCCAGCCUGGGUGACAGAGUGAGAUGUGAGACUCCAUCUCUUUAAAAAAAAAAAAAAAAACCAGGCUGGGCGCAGUGGCUCACACCUGUAAUCCCAGCACUUUGGGAGGCGGAGGCAGGUGGAUCACAACAUCAGAAGUUCGAGACCAGCCUGACCAACAUAGUGAAACUAAAAUUAGUUUCUACUAAAAAACACGUCUCUACUAAAAAUACAAAAAAUUAGCUAGGCAUGGUGGCGGGUGCCUGUAAUCCCAGCUACUCGGGAGGCUGAGGCAGGAGAAUCGCUUGAACCUGGGAGGUGGAGGUUGCAGUGAGCUGAGAUCACGUCACUGCACUCCAGCCUGGGCAACAGUGCGAGACUCCGUCUCAAAAAAAAAAAAAAAAAAAACCCAGCCUGUGUGACGUGGUGAGACCCUGUCCCUACUAAAAAUACAAAAAUUAUCCAGGCGUGGUGUUGCCCACCCAUAGUGCCAGCUACUCAGGAGGCUGAGGUAGGAGGAUCACCUGAGCUAUGGGAGGUCGAGGCUGCAGUGAGCCAUGAUUGUGUCACUGCACUCCAGUCUGGGCCACAGAGUGAGAUACCAUCUCAAAAAAAAAAAAAGUAUUAUGUAUUUAAACAAAUAUGAAAAAGGAGGUAGCCCAGGACACAUCCCUGAUUUACCCACUAGAAAUUAAUUACUGACGGGGCACGGUAGCCCAUGCCUGUAAUCCCAGCACUUUAAGGGGCUGAGGCAGUGGAUUGCUUAAGCUCAGGAGUUUGAGACUAGCCUGAGCAACAUGGCAAAACCCUGUCUCUACAAAAAUUAAAAAAAUACAAAAAUUACCCGGGCCCUCUCAUUCACAGCUUCUCAGGUAAAAAAAAAAAAAGAAAAAGAAAAAGAAAAAAAAAAUAGCUGGAGGCUGGGUGCGGUGGCUCAUGCCACACCUGUAAUCCCACACUUUGGGAGGCCAAUGCAGGCAGAUCACUUGAGGCCAAGAGUUCUAGACUACCCUGGCCAACAUGGUGAAACCCCAUCUCUACUAAAAAUACAAACAUUAGCCAGGUGUGGUGGCACACGCCUGUAGUCCCAGCUCCUCGGGAGGCUGAGGUAGGAUAAUUGCUUGAACCUGGGAGGCAGAGGUUGCAGUGAGCCGAGAUUGCACCACUGCACUCCAGCCUGGGCGAUAGAGUGAGACUUCAUCUAAAAAAAUAAAAAUAAUAAUAAUAAUAAUAAUGAUAAUAAUAAUAGCCAGGCGUGGUGGCACAUGCCUGUUGUCCCAGUUACUCAGGAGGCUGAGGUGGGAGGAUUGCUUGAGCCCGGGAGGUCGAGGCUUCAGUGAGCUGUGAUUUUGCCACUGCACUCCAGUGGCACAAGAGAGCAAGAGAGCAAGAGGGCAAGACCCUGUCUCAAAAUAAAAUAAAAUAAAGAAAGAAAUUAUUUGCCAUGCCUGCUAGCCCUGAUUCUUGAUAUUGCUUGAUAUUGUCAUGAGGGUUCUAUGUGGGCAUGAAUAGCUAAGGCUCUUUAUUGAACAUGGGCAGCUUUGUCAUUAAUCAAGUCUGGGUCGGGGCAAAGGCGAAGAAAAUGUUUUAAAUGAUUCAUUUUUUUUUAAUUUUAUUUUUAUUUUUAUUUUAUUUUAUUUUAUUUUUGAGACAGAGUCUUGCUCUGUCGCCACGCUGGAGUGCAGUCCCGGGUUUAAGCAAUUCUCCUGCCUCAGCCUUCCGAGUAGCUGGGACUACAGGUGUGCACCACCACGUUCAGCUAAUUUUUUGUAUUUUUAGUAGAGAUGAGGUUUCGCCAUGUUGGCCAGAAUGGUCUCGAUCUCUUGACCUCAUGAUCCACCCACCUCAGCCUCCCAAAGUGUUGGGGUUACAGGUGUGAACCACUGCGCCUGGCCUUUUAUUUUUAUUUUUACAGAGACAAAGUCUCACUAUGUUGCCCAGGCUGGUCUUGAACUUCUGAGCUCAAGUGAUUUUCCCAUCUCGGCCCUAGGAUUACAGGCGUGAGCCUCCAGCCCUGGCUAUUCUAAAUGAU
rnacentral:lncRNA from 1 species